GUGUGUCAAGAGACCAUAUGCCUAGUUGGCUUUGGAACACGGACAAGACCGAACACACAAUGCAUCACUACAAUGCAGUUCCUUUAGCCAGACAUUCCGUGCUCCAGGCAGAUUGAUUAUGAAACAUCCCAAAAGGACAUGAUGUCAUCGCACUUGGCAAUGAGGGCCAACAGACCUGAGGAGAAUAUGCUUGACUUACUGGAAUCAAUUGAAACCACUGGGAGGAAAAGUUCCAAGCUUGUACUAACUGGCAGAGGGAAAGUGUGGGAAGAGUAAGUGAAUUAUAUAGGGGAGGCUGGAUUUCCGAAGCUUUCUGGGUUUCUACAUUCAACACAGAAAUCUCUUUAGCCUAAUUAAUUAUUACUCUAACUCACUGCUCCUGUGCCAAUCCUUUGGCAGGUCUGCUUAAAUCAACAGCGGACACACCCACGCUUACUGGAUCAUUAUUUUUAGAGUAUUCUGUGCCUUGUAAAUCUGAAAGUGCCAUUGUAAUAGCUCAGGAUUGAAAACUUGUUAUUUAUGGUGUAUUCUGCCAUUUCUGUAUAUGCAUAUGUCUCUAUUUAUCAAAAAGUUUUCAUUCAGAAUGAUAAAUAAUUGCGUAUAUUCCCAGGCAUUUUCCUGUGAUGCUUCAGUAUGCGAGUUAGCUUGCUGAAACUCUGGAUUUAUAGUGCAAAUAACUGCAGACGAGAAGCUCAUUUCCUUCCCAGAGAAUUAUUCAUUCAGUCAUUCAUCCUGAGCAUCUCAGCACGGGUGGUUCUUUUAAAAAGUGCCUCCCUUAAGUUCCCGUGUAAGACUUCCUGGAAUGUUUUUCCCCCUGCAGCUUUUCAGAGCCUUUUAUCAGCAUAAACCCUGCUUUGCAUUUCUUUCUUUCUUUUUUUAUCUGACAGGCCAUAGACACAUUAUGCACAGUCCUUUCUUUUCUAUUUUGGCUUUAGCAAUUGAACAGGACACCGCAAUACCACAUCCUCUGGACUCAUUGCCCACAUCCAGAUACCAUGAAUAAUGGAUUCUCAGUGAAAGUAGCCCGUUUGAUUUAUGUGUGUUCAAAGAGCCAGAUAGUGGGAAAGUGGUCAGAUGGUGGUCCAAUAUCUCCCUUGUGAAGGACCUUUCUUUGCCAAGAUGCCUAAGCUCAUCUCAGCUAAGCUAUUCUGGAGUGAUGGGCUGAACAAUAUAGCCAGAAGAUAUAAACAUACAAAAUAAAAGUACACAAUAACUGUAGUGUGUCUGUAGUGUUUAAGGAACAUGUAAUUUACGUUUCCAGGAAAAAAGAUGAUAUCUGUUUUCACAGGUGCAGUUGCAUUCUGGAAAGCUACAGUAUAUUUAUAUUUACCUCUGCAUUCACUUUUUCUUUCAUAUUAGUGCAAGAUUAGUACAAUUAACCGGUUUCAUUUUUCACAUUCAUUAACUUGUGGCUCUUUACCUACAGGGUUGUCAGGGUAGAGCAUGCGGUUGCCUCAUCAUACAAGGUGGUUUGGAUCUUUCAGUAUUAUUUUCUGUGGCUAGAUUAAUGGUUAACCUGGCCACAAAAUUGCAAACUUAAGCCAACUAAUACAAAUAAUUGAAUGAAUAUGGUUAAGGUUAGGGCUUGAGAAUGAGUUACUAUUAAUGGCUAUAUGGGCAACUUGUUUGUAAUCAGUCCAACUAAAUCAGUCUUGCUUAUUUGAAAUCAGAUUGCAAGGUGAGGACUUCUGCUGCCUUGGAAGGAGCCAAUGAUCUCACGCUGUUCCAAGAAACACUGUUUGACAGAACUUCAUUCAACUGAAUACCGUAGUGAAAAAGCAUGAGAAUGUCCAGAGGCAAAUGUACAGUCAACCCAUCAUGAUCAUGAGCAAGACCUGAUAAAUAAGCUUUGGAUUUCCCAGUAAAAAUGCUUGCUUUUCCCCAAAUGAAUUUUAUAUUAAUUGUUUCGUUCAUUUAAAAUGACUGACACCCCUAGAGAACAUUCAGAUAUACACUAUAUUGCCAAAAGUAUUCGCUCACCUGCCUUGACUCGCAUAUGAACUUAAGUGACAUCCCAUUCCUAAUCCAUAGGGUUCAAUAUGACGUCGGUCCACCCUUUGCAGCUAUAACAGCUUCAACUCUUCUGGGAAGGCUGUCCACAAGGUUUAGGAGUGUGUUUAUGGGAAUUUUUGACCAUUCUUCCAGAAGCGCAUUUGUGAGGUCACACACUGAUGUUGGACGAGAAGGACUGGCUCUCAGUCUCCGCUCUAAUUCAUCCCAAAGGUGUUCUAUCGGGUUGAGGUCAGGACUCUGUACAGGCCAGUCAAGUUCAUCCACACCAGACUCUGUCAUCCAUGUCUUUAUGGACCUUGCUUUGUGCCCUGGUGCACAGUCAUGUUGGAAGAGGAAGGGGCCAGCUCCAAACUGUUCCCACAAAGUUGGGAGCAUGGAAUUGUCCAAAAUGUCUUGGUAUGCUGAAGCAUUCAGAGUUCCUUUCACUGGAACUAAGGGGCCAAGCCCAGCUCCUGAAAAACAACCCCACACCAUAAUCCCCCCUCCACCAAACUUUACAUUUGGCACAAUGCAGUCAGACAAGUACCGUUCUCCUGGCAACUGCCAAACCCAGACUCGUCCAUCAGAUUGCCAGAUGGAGAAGCACGAUUCGUCACUCCAGAGAACGCGUCUCCACUGCUCUAGAGUCCAGUGGCGGCGUGCUUUACACCACUGCAUCUGACGCUUUGCAUUGCACUUGGUGAUGUAUGGCUUGGAUGCAGCUGUUCAGCCAUGGAAACCCAUUCCAUGAAGCUCUCUGCACACUGUUCUUGAGCUAAUCUGAAGGCCACAUGAAGUUUGGAGGUCUGUAGCGAUCGACUCUGCAGAAAGUUGGCGACCUCUUCGCACUAUGUGCCUCAGCAUCCGCUGACCCCGCUCCGGCAGUUUACGUGGCCUACCACUUCGUGGCUGAGUUGCUGUCGUUCCCAAACACUUCCACGUUCUUAUAAUACAGCUGACAGUUGACUGUGGAAUAUUUAGGAGCGAGGAAAUUUCACGACUGGAUUUGUUGCACAGGUGGCAUCCUAUCACAGUUCCACGCUGGAAUUCACUGAGCUCCUGAGAGCGACCCAUUGGUGCUUGAUUUUAUAAACCUGUGGCCAUGGAAGUGAUUGGAACACCUGAUUCUGAUUAUUUGGAUGGGUGAGCGAAUACUUUUGGCAAUAUAGUGUAUAAAGGUAAUUGUAGGCCUUUAUAUUUUGGUAAUAGCUCUGGGUACCACAUAUAUGACAACAUAUAUGAGGUUGAAAAUUCUCCUGUAAUUCAUCCUAAUUUUUUGCAAAAGGCAGGUUGUUGUUGUCUUUCAUCGUAUAAUCCUUCAUAAGAACAUGUUGUUCAGCAGAAGAGGACACAUGAGCAUAUUGCUCACUAGGACAGUGAAAGAUGCAAAAUCAUUUAGAUACAGAGCUUGAACUUCAUUGUGUCACUGGAAUUACAACUGGAAUUAUAUUGUGGUCAUAUAAAUGAAAGACAUCUUUUGAUCUUUUAGACAUUCAACAUGUACAGCAGUGAAUAAGGACUGAGAAAAAGAAAAAGCAUCCAUUUGUUCAUUAACAAUUUGAGGAUAUUUGCAAUUAUUAUUAUUAGUAUCAUCUCUUGUGAUGACCCUUGCAACGUACAACGACAUUUUGGCCCCAAACUUGGUUGUACCUGUCAGCAGGUUAGCUAAACUAGAAGAUAAUUACCCCACAAUUCAACAGAGGUUGUAAAAACACAACCAAUGUUAUGCCAUGGCAACCUUCUUCUUCGAAUUAAAACUUUAUUAAAUUUAGAAGUUAAACAAGUUAUAUAAGUUGUGAACAACAAUCUGAAUAAUUCAUUCUAGAGUUAGGUUCCUUAGGCGUGUCCUUAGAGUCCUUAAUCCUUACACUCCCUCUACAAUUUAUCACCAGAUUUUUACAAUUGUUUUAGUAAAAAUAUUUUAGUGAGUUUCCACCAGUCAAGCAUAAUCUAUUUACCAUGUUGCAUUAUUAAUGGUGUUUUAAAGGAAAAAUAAAAAGCAUGAAUGGCCCAUUCAGUCUUUUCAUUUAUGCCUUUACUUAGUGGGGUAAUGAGCCAACUGCAUGUGAUUUUGACAGUGGCUAAAGUUGGCCCCCUCUAGACCGUUUAGUCUGUGCCCAGGCUCUAAUCCCUCCAAAGCAAGGCGGCUGACAUCAUUCCUUCCAGACACUGGGGCUUGUUAUUGCUGCCAUUCCAGGACUUCGUGCUGUAACUGAGCAAACAUUUCAUGGGACUUCACAGGGGCUGUCAUUCCGGCAACAGAGAGUUGUAGCAGUUCAACACACUAGCACACUUCAGACUGGGGGGCCUACAGACUUUCGUUAAUUACAUAGCACAGAGAUCAGCUGCAUUAGCACCCCUACUGAAACUAGCAUUUAUAGACUUAGUAGCUUAUGAACUAUAAAUCUGCUCAUUGUAGGGAACCUGUUGAAUUACCAACAACCACAAAAUAUGUCUGAAGUGUUUAUGCUAUUUAUAUGACUUAAACAUACAGAAACAGUAAGUAA